rnacentral:rRNA from 1 species
UACAUGGGGUGCAAACGUUGCUCGGAAUUAUUGGGCGUAAAGCGCACGUAGGCGGUUUGUUAAGUCGGAUGUGAAAUCCCUCGGCUCAACUGAGGAAGUGCAUCCGAAACUGGCAGGCUUGAGUACUAAAGAGGGUCGCGGAAUUCCCGGUGUAGAGGUGAAAUUCGUAGAUAUCGGGAGGAACACCGGUGGCGAAGGCGGCGACCUGGGUAGAUACUGACGCUGAGGCGCGAAAGCGUGGGGAGCAAACAGG